ensembl:misc_RNA 7SK 7SK RNA
GGAUGUGAGGGCAAGCAGGUAUGAUAACUCAAGCACAGUUGCUGACCAGGGCUGAUUUGGCUGAUCUGGCUGGCUAGGCAGGUCCCCCAUUUUCCUCACUACUCCAUGUGCUUCUCUGAAGCUGCCGGUUUAUUCCAACUUGAAGCAGAUCUCUCUUCCAUUGAGGGUCUAUGAGUACCUGUGUUUACCUGCUACGACAUUCUAACAAGCUCUCCUGCUCUAGAAGAGAACUGGGAUUCCCUCACCCCAGUACCUAGAAUCUGAAGUGCUAGGGCCUGUAG